ACUUAAGUAGUUUAAAAAGAAAAAUGGUGAUUUGUGGUGUCAUAGAUGUAGUUUAAUACCUUAGGUU
rnacentral:tRNA from 1 species